rnacentral:rRNA from 1 species
AUUGAACGCUGGCGGCAUGCCUUACACAUGCAAGUCGAACGGCAGCACGGGUGCUUGCACCUGGUGGCGAGUGGCGAACGGGUGAGUAAUACAUCGGAACGUACCUUAUCGUGGGGGAUAACGCAGCGAAAGCUGUGCUAAUACCGCAUACGCCCUGAGGGGGAAAGCGGGGGAUCGAAAGACCUCGCGCGAUUAGAGCGGCCGAUGCCUGAUUAGCUUGUUGGGGGGUAAAAGCUCGCCAAGGCGACGAUCAGUAGCUGGUCUGAGAGGACGACAAACCACACUGGGACUGGGAGACGGCGCAGAGUCCUACGGGAGGCAGCAGUGGGUAAUUUUGGACAAUGGGCAACCCUGAUCCAGCAAGGCCGCGUGAGUGAAGAAGGACUUCGGGUUGUAAAGCUCUUUUGUCAGGGAAGAAACACCGGCGCGAACACAGUCCGGGAAUGACGGUACCUGAAGAAUAAGCACCGGCUAACUACGUACCAGCCGCCGCCGUAA